UUAAGCUACUAAGAGCACACGGAGGAUGCCUAGGCGCCAGGAGCCGAUGAAGGACGUGGCGAACAACGAAAAGGCCUCGGGGAGCUGUAAGCAAGCGUUGAUCCGGGGGUGUCCGAAUGGGGAAACCCGGCUGUGGUAAUGCACAGUCACUCCUACCUGAAUUCAUAGGGUAGGUGGAGGCAGACCAGGGGAACUGAAACAUCUAAGUACCCUGAGGAAGAGAAAACAAGAGUGAUUCCGUCAGUAGCGGCGAGCGAACGCGGAACAGCCUAAACCAGGGAGCUUGCUCCCUGGGGUUGUGGGACGUCUCACAUGGAGUUACAAAGGAACAAGAUAGGUGAAGAGGUCUGGAAAGGCCCGCGAUAGAGGUAAAAGCCCUGUAGCCCAAAUUUUGUUCCCUCCGAGACGGAUCCCGAGUAGUGCGGGGCACGUGAAACCCCGUAUGAAUCCGGCAGGACCAUCUGCCAAGGCUAAAUACUCCCUGGCGACCGAUAGUGAAACAGUACCGUGAGGGAAAGGUGAAAAGCACCCCGGAAGGGGAGUGAAAUAGUACCUGAAACCGUGUGCUUACAAGAAGUCAGAGCCCGUUAUAGGGGUGAUGGCGUGCCUUUUGUAGAAUGAACCGGCGAGUUACGUUUAACGUGCAAGGUUAAGGCGAGAAGCCGGAGCCGCAGCGAAAGCGAGUCUGAAUAGGGCGAAUAAGUACGUGGGCGUAGACCCGAAACCGUGUGAUCUACCCCUGUCCAGGGUGAAGGUGCGGUAACACGCACUGGAGGCCCGAACCCACGCACGUUGAAAAGUGCGGGGAUGAGGUGGGGGUAGCGGAGAAAUUCCAAUCGAACUCGGAGAUAGCUGGUUCUCCCCGAAAUAGCUUUAGGGCUAGCCUCGGUGAUUAACAGUACUGGAGGUAGAGCACUGAUUGGGUGCGGGGCCCGCAAGGGUUACCAAGCUCAGUCAAACUCCGAAUGCCAGCUACUGAUGCACCGGGAGUCAGACAGUGAGUGCUAAGAUCCAUUGUCAAAAGGGAAACAGCCCAGACCAUCAGCUAAGGUCCCCAAGUGUGUGUUAAGUGGGAAAGGAUGUGGAGUUGCACAGACAACCAGGAUGUUGGCUUAGAAGCAGCCACCAUUGAAAGAGUGCGUAAUAGCUCACUGGUCGAGUGACUCUGCGCCGAAAAUGUAACGGGGCUAAACACACCACCGAAGCUAUGGCUUGGAUCGACUUCACUGUGUCUUUGAGGCGGUGUUUAUAGAAGGAGACAUUUUUGCCGAAAAGCCUGAAAUCAAGGCUUGAGGCCAAAUGCACUCCGGGGAUAAACACAUCUGCUUCGAAGCUGGAGUGAAGUCGAUCCAGGGGUAGGGGAGCGUUGUAUGUGGGUUGAAGGUUGACUGUAAGGACAGCUGGACAGCAUACAAGUGAGAAUGCCGGUAUGAGUAACGAAAAGAUCAGUGAGAAUCUGAUCCGCCGAAAGCCCAAGGUUUCCUGAGGAAGGCUCGUCCGCUCAGGGUAAGUCGGGACCUAAGGCGAGGCCGACAGGCGUAGUCGAAGGACAACAGGUUGAUAUUCCUGUACCACCGUAAUCCGCUAUGAGCGAUGGGGGGACGCAGGAGGGUAGUGACGCGGACUGAUGGAUGUCCGUCCAAGCAGCGAGGCUGGUGUAUAGGCAAAUCCGUACACUAUUAAGGCUGGGCUGUGAUGGGGAGCGAAAAUUACAGUAGCGAAGGUCAUGAUCUCACACUGCCAAGAAAAGCCUCUAGCCAGGAGAAGGUGCCCGUACCGCAAACCGACACAGGUAGGCGAGAAGAGAAUUCUAAGGCGCGCGGAAGAACUCUCGUUAAGGAACUCGGCAAAAUGACCCCGUAACUUCGGGAGAAGGGGUGCCUCGGUAGGGUGAAUAGCCCGAGGGGGCCGCAGUGAAAAGGCCCAAGCGACUGUUUAGCAAAAACACAGGUCUGUGCGAAGCCGCAAGGCGAAGUAUACGGGCUGACGCCUGCCCGGUGCUGGAAGGUUAAGGGGAGCGGUUAGGGGUAACCCGAAGCUGUGAACCGAAGCCCCAGUAAACGGCGGCCGUAACUAUAACGGUCCUAAGGUAGCGAAAUUCCUUGUCAGGUAAAUUCUGACCCGCACGAAUGGCGUAACGACUUGGGCGCUGUCUCAACGAGAGAUCCGGUGAAAUUUUAAUACCUGUGAAGAUGCAGGUUACCCGCGACAAGACGGAAAGACCCCAUGGAGCUUUACUGCAGCUUGAUAUUGAACUUGGGUACGAUCUGUACAGGAUAGGUGGGAGCCUUAGAAGCCGGAGCGCCAGCUUCGGUGGAGGCGCCGUUGGGAUACCACCCUGAUCGUAUCUAGGUUCUAACCUGGCACCCUAAACGGGUGCGGGGACCGUGUCAGGCGGGCAGUUUGACUGGGGCGGUCGCCUCCUAAAGCGUAACGGAGGCGUCCCAAGGUUCCCUCAGAAUGGUUGGAAAUCAUUCGAAGAGUGCAAAGGCAGAAGGGAGCUUGACUGCGAGACCAACAAGUCGAGCAGGGACGAAAGUCGGGCUUAGUGAUCCGGUGGUACCGCAUGGAAGGGCCAUCGCUCAACGGAUAAAAGCUACCCUGGGGAUAACAGGCUUAUCUCCCCCAAGAGUCCACAUCGACGGGGAGGUUUGGCACCUCGAUGUCGGCUCAUCGCAUCCUGGGGCUGAAGUAGGUCCCAAGGGUUGGGCUGUUCGCCCAUUAAAGCGGUACGCGAGCUGGGUUCAGAACGUCGUGAGACAGUUCGGUCCCUAUCUGUCGUGGGCGUAGGAAAUUUGAGAGGAGCUGUCCUUAGUACGAGAGGACCGGGAUGGACGUACCGCUGGUGCACCAGUUGUUCCGCCAGGAGCAUGGCUGGGUAGCUACGUACGGACGGGAUAAGCGCUGAAAGCAUCUAAGCGUGAAGCCCCCCUCAAGAUGAGAUUUCCCAAUUUAGUAAGACCCCUUGAAGACGACGAGGUAGAUAGGUUGGAGGUGGAAGUGCAGCAAUGCAUGGAGCUGACCAAUACUAAUCGGUCGAGGGCUUAUC
rnacentral:rRNA from 1 species